rnacentral:rRNA from 1 species
GACGAACGCUGGCGGCGUGCCUAAUACAUGCAAGUGGAACGCAGUUGAUUCACCGGAGCUUGCUCCAUCGAAUUAACUGAGUCGCGAACGGGUGAGUAACGCGUAGGUAACCUGUCUUUUAGCGGGGGAUAACUAUUGGAAACGAUAGCUAAUACCGCAUAAGAGUGACUAACACAUGUUAGUGAUUUAAAAGAUACAACUGUAUCACUAAGAGAUGGACCUGCGUUGUAUUAGCUAGUUGGUAGGGUAGAGGCCUACCAAGGCGACGAUACAUAGCCGACCUGAGAGGGUGAACGGCCACACUGGGACUGAGACACGGCCCAGACUCCUACGGGAGGCAGCAGUAGGGAAUCUUCGGCAAUGGGGGGAACCCUGACCGAGCAACGCCGCGUGAGUGAAGAAGGUUUUCGGAUCGUAAAGCUCUGUUGUCAGAGACGAACGUAUGUGAGAGUGGAAAGUUCACAUAGUGACGGUAACUGACCAGAAAGGGACGGCUAACUACGUG